GUUUCUCCCCUUCUCCAUCUUUUUGUGCAUUUCUCCCUUUCUCCAUCUAUUCUAAAAUGUUACUUUUGUUAUUUUUAUGAUAUAAAGGAUUGUCUAGACUUGAUUACAUGUUGUGAAAAUUAUGAUGAAGUCUUUUUUUUAAUCUUAAUGAAAGAAUGAAAAUUAUGAGAAGGGGACACAUGGGUCAAAGUCUAAUUUUGAUAAACACCCUCAACCACUAACACUUCUUUUUUCUUUCCAUUGGCUGGAUUUUUUUAUUUGUUUUCAUUUCAAAUUCAUUGAGGCUAUGAAAUCAGUUAUUUGAUAGCUUUGGUGACAUGUAUGACUUAUAUGAAGGGGGAAUUAAGCUGCCUACAUAUAUACUGAAUAAAAUUAAUCCUUUACCAGUGUUAAAGGAAGUCUUCAGAACUGAUGGUGAACAAUUCCUCAAGUUUCCACCUGCUAAAGUGAUUCAAGGUUCUCUACCUUUGUCAAAACAGCCACUUCCUCAAAACUGACACUUGCAAGCAAAAAUAUUGGAAUACUGAUGAAGAAUUUGCAAGAGAGAUCAUUGCUGGUGUAAAUCCUGGUUUAGAUCACAUCCUUCAAGAGUUUCCUCCAAAAAGUAAGCUAGACAGUGAAGUCUAUGGGGAUCGUACAAGAACAAUAACCAAAGAACAAAUAGAGCUUAACUUAGAUGGGCUCACUGCAGAUCAGACUAUCCAGAACAAGAAAUUGUUCCUGCUAGAUCACCAUUUCAGCUGUUCGGAAGAUAGGACCUUUACUAAAGGUCCUCUCUUAGAAUCUUGAACCUUUGUAUUGAGUCAGUCUUGAAGAACUAUAGAAGUAGCUUAUAAAGUGGUGGUUCUCUCCUAAAGUUGGUUUGCUAUGGACUUUGGAACCUUUCUAUUGAAGUGAGUCUUGAAGAUCUAUUGAUCCAGCUAACAUAUUGGUGUAUUCAUUCAUUCUUUAACUAUUUAGUCAUUUCCUAAUUGCUAAAUUUCAUGUUUAACAUAUUGUGGUACAGUUUUAAAAUGAAAUAUAAGGCGAUUUUUGAUUGC